ACCUGGGUGGCUCAGUCAGUUAAGCGUCUGACUUUAGCUCAGGUCAUGAUUUCAAGGUCUGUGGGUUCAAGCCCCACAUCGGGUU
rnacentral:tRNA from 1 species